AUCAAGGAUCUUAAACUUUGCC
rnacentral:miRNA from 4 species